rnacentral:antisense_RNA from 1 species
GUCGGUAAAAUAUAUUUCCCCUUCAUUAGUUAUCGUUUUAAAAAUGAGAUGCUCAUCUAAUUGAUAGUUUGCCAUUUCAAUCAUCUUUUCAUCCGCAGAAC